AAGGAGAAGCCUUUUGAAGCAAAGUAAGCUGCUGCUCAUAAGUGCCUGCUCUGAUCGGUGUUCCAAAUGGAAGAAAUUUGGUUCUACCAAGGUGCCCAGUGGAGAUAAAAACCUUGAGGUGGAGAGAAGUCUAAUCCAGUGGUCUUGUUACUAUUGCUACCUAUGAAUGUCUGUGGUACAUCAUGGUAAGAGAAAUCAACAUCUUAAUUCUUCAAAGAUUUACUGAAGUCUUGUAACAUGAGUUACUUUCAGCAGACUUGAGAUAUUCAUUGCUCUAAACGUAACCCUGGAUGAUAAGAAUACGGAAUUACUAUGGAACACAAAGAAAAACAUGAAAUUCAAAACUCUUUCUCUGCACAAAGAAAAGCUUGAGUACAGAGAUACAAUAACAGAGCUGAUGUUGCUGAAACAGACAGAGGAAAGGAUGCAGGUUGAAAGAAGAUUUUUGGCUCUCAGGCUAAAGAGCCUGCUGACCAUAUCACUGACUGGCAAAAGAAGACAGAACAAAGUGAAAUACAAGCCUUGGAAAAGGGAGGCCCAUUUUUUGCAGCUAUUUACCUCUAGAAAUAAGUACUGAUAGAUCCUCUUCAGCCUCUGCUCUCAGCUCAAACUGAAUGGAAAGCUACUUGGUCUAGCUGCCAGAGAGGAAAUAAGCCAUUCCUGGUUCUAAGAAAGCCUCAAGAAUGAGAAGAAAGGAAACAGACCCUAGGGAAAGCAGUGCUGCAAAGAAAAUAGAGUCAACGCAAACUAAAAAUGAGUGGGAAUUCCUCUUUUCCAGCAGUUCAGUUUGUUGAUCUCUGUGUUUAUGAAAAGCAACAAUGUCAUAGGUUCUUUUCCUCCAUGUGGAACGGUCAUUCAUCUUGCACAAAAUAAACAGCAUCGGUACUAAUUUCAGAAUGGAAAGCGUAGUUACUAUAUGCAUGCAAUAACCAUUAGGCACUGGGCGCUACAGCUGUAACCUGAGAAACACACCUGGACUUUCAGAGGGAACAUUAAUCAACCCAUGACAAUUCCCACUUCUUUCCUCCAGAAGAACUGGGUUCCAGUCUUCCUCGGCCCACCGCAGAGCUGUGCAGGAAGGACUACAUUUUCAAGUCUCACUAGAAAUCUACCACCUCUGCAAAUGCAGCAAAGCUUCCCACAUACACUGUGAGCUGAAUUAUCACCUCAGAACUGACUAGAAGCACAACUCCCAACUAGAUAUUUAUAACCAAGAACUUCGGUGUGGAAAUCAAAGUGAUGUCAAUUAAAUUACCCUGGUAUUUAAUAUUAAUAGUUUAAUCAAACUAAUUUAUUGCUUUCUAGCUUUCCUCUUGGUAGCAAAAAAAAUCUGCAUACAUAACUUAUAUUUUAUUUCUUAUCCUACUCCAGCCUUCUUAUAAAACUGCACAUGCUUAAAUAAUUUAUUGUAGAUAUGACACUAAACUCAGGAAACAACCAUGCCUAAAUGAUUGCUUUCAAAAGAGCAGAGGCCUAUUGACUUCACAGAGUAAAAAACCCUGAUCACUAUCUAGAUUUGUUUCGCAGAUAACCCAAGAGCUAUUACCAACUUCUUUUAAACACUGGCUGGUUCUGCAUUCACGCUUGCUGUUGAAGGUGCACCAAGCAAUGAAGCAAGUUAAAACUUGACAUCUUGACAGGGAAAGACAUGAUGAUGUCAACAUCCCUCAUGACUAAUGUAGUUUCUUUCCUAAAUACUUCUGGAGAUAUUUUUCCUCCUAUAUGAUUUGACAUAUGGAGAAGUAACUACCUAAGAGCUAUUUUUGCUGCUUAACUGAACGUUAGAAAACAAACACAGGGCAGCUCUUUUAAGAUUUAUUUUCAGUGAAAGACAUCCCUUUUUCAUAUUCCCAGGCUCGAGGAAAGAAAAGGAUGCAUACUUUAAAUCUUUCCAUUACACAUAUAAACCCUGUUUUUAAUGUUUUAACAUUGACUUAUGAUUACAAAAUCUACAUACGUAAGCUGCACAAAAAGUCUGGCUCUGUGCCCUAAGGCUAUUUUAG